AUUGAACGCUGGCGGCAUGCUUUACACAUGCAAGUCGAACGGCAGCACGGGUGCUUGCACCUGGUGGCGAGUGGCGAACGGGUGAGUAAUAUAUCGGAACAUGUCCGGAAGUGGGGGAUAACGUACCGAAAGGUACGCUAAUACCGCAUAUGCCCUGAGGGGGAAAGGGGGGGAUCGCAAGACCCCCCGCUUUCGGAGUGGCCGAUAGCGGAUUAGCUAGUAGGUGAGGUAAAGGCUCACCUAGGCGACGAUCCGUGGCUGGUCUGAGAGGACGACCAGCCACACUGGGACUGAGACACGGCCCAGACUCCUACGGGAGGCAGCAGUGGGGAAUUUUGGACAAUGGGCGCAAGCCUGAUCCAGCCAUGCCGCGUGAGUGAAGAAGGCCUUCGGGUUGUAAAGCUCUUUCAGCUGGAAAGAAAUCGUACUUAUUAAUACUAGGUGCGGAUGACGGUACCAGCAGAAGAAGCACCGGCUAACUACGUGCCAGCAGCCGCAGUAA
rnacentral:rRNA from 1 species